GUGUGCAUGAUGCAACUUCCUGGAUGGUGUGUAGGCUGUGUGUCAACAUGUGAAUCUCACGUGCAUUUCAGGGUAGGAGUUAUCUCCCCUUGAAAAGAUCAAUAAUGGCGGAUAAACAAUGCGCAUGCAGUCUGGUCGUCAACGGACAGUUUUGACACCCGUAUACCCAUAUUUCUACCAAAUACCUCUGAAACCUUUGUUGUGUUCAUCACACAGAUGAUGGACCACUCUACUUCAUUUUACAACAGGUGCCCCUACAGAUUCACAAAGUUCCAGUGUUGAGUUUCGAUAACCCCUAUUCAUCCACGACAGGAAAAGGAAUAGAGUUGACAGGACUUCCCGCACUGUCCCUGGUAGCAGUUUAUGAGGGAACCAACUGCAGUAGACAUAGCACGCUUCAUCAAAGAUGCACCAGAUGCAGCGGCACUGUCUCCAUCAC